rnacentral:rRNA from 1 species
UACGUAGGGUGCAAGCGUUGUCCGGAAUUACUGGGCAUAAAGCGCACGUAGGCGGUCCGUUAAGUCAUGUGUGAAAUCCCCCGGCUCAACCGGGGAAUUGCGCCUGAUACUGGCGGGCUAGAGGUCGAUAGGGGUGAGCGGAACUCCAGGUGGAGCGGUGAAAUGCGUAGAUAUCAGGAGGAACACCGAUGGCGAAGGCAGGUCUCUGGGCCACUACUGACGCUGAGAAGCGAAAGCAUGGGGAGCGGACAGG